GCAAGGCUGGCAAUGGAGCAGACACGGGAAGGGGCAUGGCC
rnacentral:snRNA from 14 species